rnacentral:rRNA from 1 species
AGCAGUCGCCGCGGUAAUACGUAGGUCCCGAGCGUUGUCCGGAUUUAUUGGGCGUAAAGCGAGCGCAGGCGGUUAGAUAAGUCUGAAGUUAAAGGCUGUGGCUUAACCAUAGUACGCUUUGGAAACUGUUUAACUUGAGUGCAAGAGGGGAGAGUGGAAUUCCAUGUGUAGCGGUGAAAUGCGUAGAUAUAUGGAGGAACACCGGUGGCGAAAGCGGCUCUCUGGUUUGUAACUGACGCUGAGGCUCGAAAGCGUGGGGAGCAAACAGGAUUAGAGACCCCGGUAGUCCCUGUCUCUUAUACA